rnacentral:rRNA from 1 species
CAUUACAGAGUUAUCUAACUCCCAAACCCAUGUGAACUUACCAUUGUUGCCUCGGCAGAACCUACCCGGUACCUACCCUGUAACGAGCUACCCUGUAGCGAGUUGCCCGGAACCGUACUGUGGCGGGCGCCUGCCGGUGGACUUCUAAACUCUUGUUAUUUAUAGUAAUCUGAGCGUCUUAUUUUAAUAAGUCAAAACUUUCAACAACGGAUCUCUUGGUUCUGGCAUCGAUGAAGAACGCAGCGAAAUGCGAUACGUAAUGUGAAUUGCAGAAUUCAGUGAAUCAUCGAAUCUUUGAACGCACAUUGCGCCCAUUAGUACUCUAGUGGGCAUGCCUGUUCGAGCGUCAUUUCAACCCUUAAGCCUAGCUUAGUAUUGGCCGCCUACUGUAUUGUAGUGGCCCAAAUCCAACGGCGGAUCUGUGGUAUCCUCUGAGCGUAGUAAUUUUUAUCUCGCUUUUGUUAGGUGCUGCAGCUCCCAGCCGCUAAACCCCCCAAUUUUUAAUGGUUGAC